GGGGAUUUAGCUCAGUGGUAGAGCGCUUGCCUAACAAGCGCGAGGCCCUGGGUUCGGUCCCUAGCUCCG
rfam:Rattus norvegicus chromosome 9, whole genome shotgun sequence.